GAUGAACGCUGGCGGCGUGCUUAACACAUGCAAGUCGAACGGAAAGGCCCUGCUUGCAGGGUCCUCGAGUGGCGAACGGGUGAGUAACACGUGGGUGAUCUGCCCUGCACUUCGGGAGAAGCCUGGUAAACUGGGUCUAAUACCGGAGAGUAGCCAUUUUUAGUGUGAUGGUUGGAAAGUUUUUUCGGUGUAGGAUGAGCUCGCGGCCUAGCAGCUUGUUGGUGGGGUAAUGGCCUACCAAGGCGGCGACGGGUAGCCGGCCUGAGGGGGUGGACGGCCACAUUGGGACUGAGAGACGGCGCAGUCGCGUACGGGAGGCAGCAGUGGGGAAUAUUGCACAAUGGGCGCAAGCCUGAUGCAGAGACGCCGCGUGGGGGAAGACGGGCUUCGGGUGGUAAACUCCUUUCGCUGGGGACGAUGCUUUUUGUGACGGUACCUAGAUAGGAAGCACCGGCUAACUACGUG
rnacentral:rRNA from 1 species